GUCCACGCCCUAAACGAUGUCAACUGGUUGUUGGGUCUCUUCUGACUCAGUAACGAAGCUAACGCGUGAAGUUGACCGCCUGGGGAGUACGGCCGCAAGGUUGAACUCAAAGGAAUUGACGGGGACCCGCACAAGCUGUGGAUGAUGUGGUUUAAUUCGAUGCAACGCGAAAACCUUACCCACCUUUGACAUGUACGGAAUUCGCCAGAGAUGGCUUAGUGCUCGAAAGAGAGCCGUAACACAGGUGCUGCAUGGCUGUCGU
rnacentral:rRNA from 1 species